rnacentral:rRNA from 1 species
AAUCUUGAUGCUUCAUAUAACCAAAGCAUCCGCCUGAGAACUACGAGCACAAACGCUUAAAACUCUAAGGACUUGGCGGUGUCCCAAACCCACCUAGAGGAGCCUGUUCUAUAAUCGAUAACCCACGAUACACCCGACCACUUCUUGCCAAAACAGCCUACAUACCGCCGUCGCCAGCUCACCUCUUUUGAUAGCGCCACAGUGAGCACAAUCGCCCUAACCCCGCUAACAAGACAGGUCAAGGUAUAGCUCAUGAAGUGGAAGAAAUGGGCUACAUUUUCUAGCUUAGAAAACUCACGAAAAGGGGCAUGAAAUGGUCCCUAGAAGGCGGAUUUAGCAGUAAAGCGGGAUAACAUAAGCCCCCUUUAAGCCGGCCCUGGGGCACGUACACAC